rnacentral:tRNA from 1 species
GUCCCCAUAGCUUAACAACAAAGCGUGGCACUGAAGAUGGCAAGACGGCUGUCACACACACCUGGGGACA